rnacentral:rRNA from 1 species
AUUGAACGCUGGCGGCAGGCCUAACACCUGCAAGUCGAGCGAGCGGCGGACGGGUGAGUAAUGUAUGGGGACUGCCCGAUAGAGGGGGAUAACUACUGGAAAAGGUGGCUAAUACCGCAUACUAUCGGAUGAACCAUAUGUGCUUAGCUAGUAGGUGGGGUAAAGGCUCACCUAGGCGACGAUCUCUAGCGGGUCUGAGAGGAUGAGCAGCCACACUGGGACUGCGACACGGUCCAGACUCUUACGGAGGCAGCAGUGGGGAAGAUUGCACAAUGGGCGCAAGCCUGAUGCAUCCAUGCCGCGUGUAUGAAGAAGGCCUUAGGGUUGUAAAGUACUUUCAGCGGGGCGGCGUUACCCGCAGAAGAAGCACCGGCUAACUCCGUGCCAGCAGCCGCGGUAAUUC